rnacentral:rRNA from 1 species
CACGUAGGGUGCGAGCGUUGUCCGGAAUUAUUGGGCGUAAAGAGCUCGUAGGCGGUGUGUCGCGUCGGCCGUGAAAACCUGCAGCUCAACUGUGGGCUUGCGGUCGAUACGGGCAUCACUGGAGUUCGGCAGGGGAGACUGGAAUUCCUGGUGUAGCGGUGAAAUGCGCAGAUAUCAGGAGGAACACCGGUGGCGAAGGCGGGUCUCUGGGCCGAUACUGACGCUGAGGAGCGAAAGCGUGGGGAGCGAACAGG